rnacentral:rRNA from 1 species
GUUUGAUCCUGGCUCAGGAUGAACGCUAGCUACAGGCUUAACACAUGCAAGUCGAGGGGCAUCAGGAAGAAAGCUUGCUUUCUUUGCUGGCGACCGGCGCACGGGUGAGUAACACGUAUCCAACCUGCCCUUUACUCGGGGAUAGCCUUUCGAAAGAAAGAUUAAUACCCGAUGGCAUAAUGAUUCCGCAUGGUUUCAUUAUUAAAGGAUUCCGGUAAAGGAUGGGGAUGCGUUCCAUUAGGUUGUUGGUGAGGUAACGGCUCACCAAGCCUUCGAUGGAUAGGGGUUCUGAGAGGAAGGUCCCCCACAUUGGAACUGAGACACGGUCCAAACUCCUACGGGAGGCAGCAGUGAGGAAUAUUGGUCAAUGGGCGAGAGCCUGAACCAGCCAAGUAGCGUGAAGGAUGACUGCCCUAUGGGUUGUAAACUUCUUUUAUACGGGAAUAAAGUUAGCCACGUGUGGCUUUUUGUAUGUACCGUAUGAAUAAGGAUCGGCUAACUCCGUGCCAGCAGCCGCGGUAAUACGGAGGAUCCGAGCGUUAUCCGGAUUUAUUGGGUUUAAAGGGAGCGUAGAUGGGUUGUUAAGUCAGUUGUGAAAGUUUGCGGCUCAACCGUAAAAUUGCAAUUGAUACUGGCAGUCUUGAGUACAGUUGAGGUAGGCGGAAUUCGUGGUGUAGCGGUGAAAUGCUUAGAUAUCACGAAGAACUCCGAUUGCGAAGGCAGCUUACUAACCUGUAACUGACAUUGAUGCUCGAAAGUGUGGGUAUCAAACAGGAUUAGAUACCCUGGUAGUCCACACGGUAAACGAUGAAUACUCGCUGUAGGCGAUAUACGGUCUGCGGCCAAGCGAAAGCAUUAAGUAUUCCACCUGGGGAGUACGCCGGCAACGGUGAAACUCAAAGGAAU